AACGAACGCUGGCGGCAUGCCUAACACAUGCAAGUCGAACGAGACCUUCGGGUCUAGUGGCGCACGGGUGCGUAACGCGUGGGAAUCUGCCCUUGGGUUCGGAAUAACAGUUAGAAAUGACUGCUAAUACCGGAUAAUGUCUUCGGACCAAAGAUUUAUCGCCCAGGGAUGAGCCCGCGUAGGAUUAGCUAGUUGGUGAGGUAAAGGCUCACCAAGGCGACGAUCCUUAGCUGGUCUGAGAGGAUGAUCAGCCACACUGGGACUGAGACACGGCCCAGACUCCUACGGGAGGCAGCAGUGGGGAAUAUUGGACAAUGGGCGAAAGCCUGAUCCAGCAAUGCCGCGUGAGUGAUGAAGGCCUUAGGGUUGUAAAGCUCUUUUACCCGAGAUGAUAAUGACAGUAUCGGGAGAAUAAGCUCCGGCUAACUCCGUGCCAGCAGCCGCGGUAAU
rnacentral:rRNA from 1 species